CGUGAAACGCGCUUUAAUUGCUUCAAAGGGUCCUUCUCAAUGGGGUUUCAGAGGCGCGGGAGCGGGUCCCCGGCGAGGGCUCCUUUCCGGCUGGCCAGCAUUCCUGGGCGCUGCGAGGGGAGAGCCCGCGGCUCAUUUCCAUGCCUGUCGCAUACUGCCUCCGUUGUGCCGGGCAGGGCCGCGAGGGGAGCGCGGCUGGCAGCGAACAAAGCCCCAUUCAUCCCCGGGGACGGCUUCCUCCCGGACCAGCCGUGGCCGCAGAUGGGCUGGCUCGGGCACGCCAUCCAUCUCCAGGCCGGGGAGCGCGGCCCCGCCCGCGCACAGAGCGGUGAUGCAGGGCGCCCCCGGGCUGCGGUACCCAGGCCUCCAUGGAGGGGGAGAGGCUGUGCCGGGACAGGCGAACACUGAGGCUUUUCAGCCGGGAAAUCCCGUGUCCUCGCCGGCUCCUUGAGAGCGAGGAUGUCAGUUUCCACCUCCCUCUUCCCCACUCCCGCCCCCCGGGAUGGUACGGUCCGUCUUCCCCGGUUGUGAAGGGACUUUGUUUCUCCUCUGUGGCCUCUGCAGUCCCCACGAAAGGGUCACUUCCUGACUUUUGUGUCUCUUCAAUCCAGUGCCUUCAAAGUUCCUCCCCUCUGGUUGUGACUAAGUACAUAAUUGCGAGGCUUAUCCAUAAGAUUUUUCAGAAUUCAAACACCCCUCCAGACUCCAUGCACUUUUCCCUCGGUUCCACGUGUUAGACCCCACGACCCCACCACCAGAGAAAGCUACAGAACUCUAACGUCAAACAGAAGCCCGGCUGGGUCACUUUUCCUUCACUUUGAGGAAGCCCCUCCAGGCUGGGAUUCACAGCCCAAGACAGAAACAGGCUCCAGACACAUACCUCCCCAGCGGAUGCAACAGGGCAUGGCAGGAUCAAAAAGCCACCAGACACUGGGGAGACUGGCUCCAAUCUAUCCAUCUUCCAGAUAAGAAUCGAUAAGAUCGGAGAGGGGAAAGGAUUUGUUCACCUCGGGCGGAAGCUGGUUCAUCUCGGUAAAAGACAAAAAGCGCCCUCAAAAACACAAUUUAAAAAAAAAAAAAAAGUCUUCAAGAAAAAUUAUUCGCCAAGUAAACUUGCCUUUUUCUGCUUAUACGAAAAGAGACCUCUCCUCCAGUGCGUGAGAAUUGCUCCUGUGUUUCUUUUACUUCCUGCAUUUUGAACACCACUGGCCUCUCUCCAAAACAGACCUCUUUCCUCUCGAAGAGAAUGAAAACCUUCAAAAUGUUCACAAGCAGAUAGAGUGAUUCUGCGCUCGUUAUUUCUGAAGUGGUUGCCUCAAACGUUACCGGUCAUCAUGGCAGAAGGGAGAAGAGAACACUGGAAAGUAAUUAGAGCAAUAAUGAGUGGUCGGAUGGAAAUACAGAAUGACAUCACCCUACAAAGCUCUUAAGAACCAAUUCAUGCUCCAGCCACUAACUCCAAGGACUAUAAAGCCAGGACCUGUAUGUAAUCCUGCUUUGUCCCCAGUCUGGGGAACACCAGAGGGUUAGGGUUAGGUCUGAAAAUGCAUGUAACCAGCAUUAAUGAGGACCAUCAAAUAACCCAGCUUUCUUUCCAUAGGAUAAAAAAAAAAUACCAAUCAUUUUUGAGACCUCCAA